rnacentral:rRNA from 1 species
AACGUAGGAGACAAACGUUAUCCGGAGUUACUGGGCGUAAAGGGCGUGUAGGUGGUUUCGUAAGUCUGGCGUGAAAUUUUUCGGCUUAACCGGGAAAGGUCGUCGGAUACUGCAGAACUAGAGGACGGUAGAGGCGUGUGGAAUUCCGGGUGUAGUGGUGAAAUGCGUAGAGAUCCGGAGGAACACCAGUGGCGAAGGCGACACGCUGGGCCGUACCUGACACUGAUGCGCGACAGCAUGGGGAGCAAACAGGAUUAGAAACCCUGGUAGUCCAUGCCGUAAACGAUGCUAGCUGGGUGUUCAGGGGGGGAAACCCCUCGGGGUACCGAAGUCAACACGGUAAGCUAGCCGCCUGGGGAGUACGGUCGCAAGAUUAAA